GUACUGAUGAAGAGUCCCAAAACUAGGACGAAACAGCUAGCUGUCCAGUAC
rnacentral:hammerhead_ribozyme from 1 species